UUUUUUUCCCCAGAGUUAGGCUUCAUCCUGCUGAUUUCUCAUAGGCUAUUAGUCAUGGAGUAUAAUGGUGUCAAGGCGAUCUUCGCAGUAGCUACCAUUCUAGUCCUGCUUGUUGGACAAAGCUCGGCAUCACAAUGCUUCGACCAAUGCUUUAACGAAUGCAUUUUCUUUCGAAACCCAUUCCCGUUUUGCGUAGAAAAGUGCCAUCAAAAAUGUGAUGGUCAGCAUUCUGCAGCUAAGUCUGAUUCCGGUUGUAUCUCUGCGUGUGCCAAGUCCUCCUGUAGCCAACUUGAUCCAGAGGGAAAUGAUAUGGGGGCCUGCUUGUCUACAUGCUCAAAGAGCUGCACCAAAGCGAGGAAGUCUCUCUGAUGGAGGCCUGCAUCAAUCUAGGACAGAUGAUAAGAAUAAGCUCUUGACUUGCUAUAAAGGGAGAACAUUUGGACAGAGAUAAAUAAUGACAAGCUUUGGCUAACUUGUAAUAGAAUAAGAAUGUCCUAGUUUCAAUGAUGUAUGGUAGAAUUUAUGGGAACUAAAUAAAAUGUUAA